UCACUAGCAAGUUCAUGUUCAAUUCUUUCUCCUCAUAAAACUCUUCAACGCAUUCGCCUUUCGAUUUUCCCCUACAACCACGCGUGUAAGUUUCCCAAACCCACAGCGAACGUAACCGUUUCCCAUCAAUUUUCCCCUUUCGAUUUUCCCGGCCACACCACCGCCGUCAUCGCCGCUUCAUCCACCGACGACAGCGGCAUCCCGUCUCAAGAUCUCGCAGUUCUCCUCGAAGUCGAUGGGGUUCUUGUGGAUGCAUACCGUGGGAAUCGCAUAGCCUUCAAUAAAGCAUUUGAGAAACUUGGACUUGAUUGUGCGAGCUGGAGCGAACCUGUCUAUUCAGAUCUUUUAAGUCAUGACAAUAUUCUCAUGGAUGCUUCUCUUGGGGAUGAAACCAGUUUGAUAAGGAGAAACCAUGUCAUCAAUACCUAUCUUGUGCCUAUUGACCACAAUCUUACUAAUAAUCUUGUAAAUGGUAUUGCUGAUAAGAUCUUUGACAUACUGCAUCUUUCCAUUACUGAAUUGAUGACACAAAUUUGUAAGGUUGGCCACUAA